rnacentral:rRNA from 1 species
UACGUAGGGUGCAAGCGUUAAUCGGAAUUACUGGGCGUAAAGCGUGCGCAGGCGGUCUUUUAAGUCAGAUGUGAAAUCCCCGGGCUUAACCUGGGAACUGCGUUUGAAACUGGAAGGCUUGAGUGUGGCAGAGGGGGGUGGAAUUCCACGUGUAGCAGUGAAAUGCGUAGAGAUGUGGAGGAACACCGAUGGCGAAGGCAGCCCCCUGGGUCAACACUGACGCUCAGGCACGAAAGCGUGGGGAGCAAACAGG